AGUUUCUGCUGAACAUUGCACAGAACAGACUCAACUGCAUACAAACACAAUGGCUCUGUUGAGUUUAGAGAUUCUCUGCUGAACUUCUCAAAUUUCAAAGAUUCCAGCACACUAAAAUUCAGUUUUCUUGCAGCCAGAACUGAAGAUGCUGGAUUGAUACGCAUGAAAAACAAAACAAAAAAACAAGCAGAAAAUCCCCAUGAACUUGUAACAUAAAUCAGGCCCUGCCUGUAUAUUACAAAGUUGGUUGAGGGAAGGAGGAGAGUGGUGGUGGUUGGGGUUUUUUUUUUCCUCUCUCUCUUUCCCCUAACACUAAUUAGGUUUGAAAGACUGCAGCUUGAGUCCAGAUACCACAUGCCGAGAACAAAGGAACCCAAACAGCUGACGCAGAGUUCAGACUAAACUAACUGCAGGCUCCCCAGGGACAUCACAAGUUCUGUACCUGUGCGGAUGCAUGUGUGUGAAUGGCACUAGCACCUCUGCGCAUCUCUGUGCUUCACUGAAGGCAGCACAACAGAGUGCAGAAGGUUCCCCCCCAUCCAGUCCCGGGAUACACCAGAAGGGGAUGAAGAAAGAGAUGUGCAUCCAUCUAUGAUCCAAACUUCCUGAAUAAAUUCAGUUGUUCCAGUGAAAGACAAAUGAACAAGUUCAUACUGCUCUGAAUAGCAACAAGGUGACUGCUUGCCAGCGUGUAAAAUCUGGUAUUGUCCCUCCUGGAGUCAGAACUUGACCUUAAGAAAAUUCCUGCCCGUUUCUCCGAGGGAACAUGUCCUUGUGCUGCUGCAGAAGCCUGUUUGCCACAGGGAGACAGGCAGAACAACGGGCGCAGGAGGAAAUCUCUGAAUCACAAAGAUGUCACCCAAGGAGCGGCGUGCCACCAGUCUCUGUUCAGCACUGUGUUUUCCUGCAAUGUACCAUUUUCACUGCACUGUUUUGAAGCACAUCUCACCUGUCCCCUCCGAUUAUGGCAGAAUGAAAAUAACACGAAGCAGCAGGAGCGAGGCUGGCUGCCCCAGGUCUUGGCUGCGGGAUGGUAAACACAUGGUGCCGUUCUCUGAGCUGGGGAAAGGGACAGAGAAGAAUUCCGAAAACAUCACCCGAGCAGCCUUCUUCUGAAAAAAAGUGCAGAGAGGAGAGUCGCUAACCACCCCCUCCACUCUGAGGGACACUGACAAGCAGACCAAAGGAGGGAUGAGUGGGACCAUGUUGGAAAAGAAGUCAGAAGCCUGGCCGAAACCAGCCAGAGCCCUCAAACUGCUCAUGGUUUCACCCUGGCUAAUACAGAAUGAUGCCUUGCUCCUGCAGCUGCAACCAGCUUAGCUGAGGAAGCGCAGAGAUAAAAGCAGCGCUUGAGAACCAGCUCUGAAGAGCCAUAAAAAUCACAAGCACAGAAGAGAGAAAAUCUCCAUUAAAGUCAGAGCAUAAUUAUAACUCACUCAUUGGCUGGGGGCUUUGCAGCCCCAGUUGCUGGAGAUCCCCCUGCCCUCCGCCGGGAGCUCCCUGGAUCUGCCAGGGCUUUGAAGCAAGAGCGAGGGUGCCUGAGCCCCCGGCUGCUCGGCACAAAGCGGAGAUAAUUCCCUGGAUGAGGGUGAUGAGACAAGUUUCGGCCCAGCAAGGGAUUUCUUUGAAGCCUGCCUGGGGAAGGAGGCGCAGACCGGGCAGUUACCGACACAGCAUGCUGCAGUCUAGCUCCGCUCGCUCGCGGAAAGAGGAUGAUGCUUCCUAAACCCUGGAAUGACACUCGUACCAGCUUCUCCUCUAGGGGCUCCUUGGCGAGGACCUGUCAGGUAUGAAAGCACGCAGGACCCCCUGGCAGCCAGCCGGGCGAAGCGGGGACCCCCGGGGUCCCCCGGCAGGAGCACGCGGCGACCGGGGACAGCGCGGGAGGCAGAGGGAGAAAAGCUAAGGUGAGGUGUCGCAGUGGAAGGAUGGGAGCCAGAUCCCCCAGUAAAACCUAACAGCUUUUGAAAGGCAGCAAAGAACGCAAAAUAAUCCUCAAACCUUAAUGAGACCCAUAAGUAAACCCUGGCUGUAUUUGCCUUCCCAGCCCUGGAUGUGCCUGAAAUCCCACCUGGGAAUGUGUUUGUAAAAGCCCCGUUUGUCUGAACAUCUCAAAGACACUCCUGAGGUUGCAGUGGGACGGAGGAUGCUCACAGCUGUUUCUCUGUGGCCGGCCAUGGCAGCGGGGUGCAGGACGCUCACUCCUGUUUCUCCACUGGGGAUAUGAGCUCAGAGUCACCACGUUUCAGCUCUGCAGGGAAACUUUGCAUGUCCCAUGUCCCGGCUGCGGGCACUGACCCAAGCCCAGCAGCCGCGGGGAGGGUACACUGGUGGUACCCACCGCGCCAGGCGCAGCCUUGCCUUGCCCUGGGUCAGGGUGAGGCGAGAAGCAGCCCCCACAGACAGCCCCGUGUGUACGUGCCGAUGGACGGUGACAGUGACGGCUGAACAACCCAUCCAUCCCCCCCAGGAUCUGUACUAGCUCAUGUAGUAAAGUCUGCUUUGGAUAUACUGUCGGCUUGUUUCAGGAGGGCUUAGUAAAACAAUGGAAGAGUUACUCUGCAAUCUAAUGGAGUAAAAAAAAAAAUAUCCUAUAGUGCAUCAUGAAUAGUCCAAAAUGCAAAGAUGACAAUUUAAGUGUUUAAAAUGUACUCAAGGUAAUUCCAAACAAAUUUUAAAGCCAUUUCAGACUAUAAAACCCCUCAGCUAAAUCAUUGGUUAUAUGGUGGCGGUGCUUAUGUUGCAAAAUAUCCCCAGCAUGAAAGGGAAAGUUUAAAAAAUUGCCGGUUAAUCCUUAUAAAUUACUUAUUAGUAUUGCAAAGCUGGAGCUGGAGGAGCCUUCCAAGUGAAGGCCGUGCUGUUUGGUCACUUCUUGCCCGGCUCUGUGAGGAGCACUUGGGGGCUGGCUUUGAUUUGUUGGGCUCUGCGAAGGCAUUGAUGUGCUUCCAGAGUGUUGCAUCAGCGCUGAUGUCAUGGCACGGCUCUGGCUUCAUCCCUCCCGCUCCUGCGAGAGCCUCCCCCUCCUCCUGGCCAUUUCAAGGAAGCCACAAAGCUCGGGCUGUCCCUGCUGCAGCCACCCUGACGGCUCUCGCAAUCCCUCUCAGCAGCUGGGGGGAGUUGCCCCCCAGGGA